rnacentral:misc_RNA from 1 species
GGAAUAAAAGUCGUAACAAGGUUUCCGUAGGUGAACCUGCGGAAGGAUCAUUAAAGUUAUAGUCCCCUGGCCCUCUGGGCUGGGGUCUUCUAUACCACCCUUUGUUUAUUACACCUUUGUUGCUUUGGCAGGCCUGCCCUCGGGCUGCUGGCUCCGGCCGGCUCGCGUCUGCCAGAGGACCUAACUCUGUUUGUAUAUGAAGUCUGAGUACUAUAUAAUAGUUAAAACUUUCAACAACGGAUCUCUUGGUUCUG